rnacentral:lncRNA from 1 species
GUCUUAUUUAGUUCAAAAUCCUUAUUUUAAUCACAUUACUAUCCUUUAAUCCAAUAAGGGGCCAUUCACAAAGGAUGUCCGAGCCGAGGGGGGGAGGGGGGUUUGGAAAAUCAGGACAAACUCAGACAUAUGGGGGGGGGGGGGGGGUUUUUUUUUAGCAAUACGGAUGUCCGAAAUUUAAAAAAAUUCAAAAACAAAUUUCUUUUUCCUCUCUUUUGAACUCUCCUUCCCAUUGUGAAAUUGGCAUUUUGAAUAUGCGAUUAAUGCUAGAUUUUGUUUUAAUUAGUAAUUUAUAUGUUUUUGUAUUCACAUUUAUAGUUAUAAAAAAGUUCUAAAAGUAAAAGUUUUUUACUCUUGACAUAUACAAGGUUGCAUGAGUUUUUGCGAGGCAUGGCGGAUGUCCG